GGGGGCUUAGCUCAGCGGGAGAGCGCUUCCCUUACAAGGAAGAGGUCGUAGGUUCGACACCUACAGCCCCCACGA
rnacentral:tRNA from 1 species